GAUGAACGCUAGCGGCAGGCCUGACACAUGCAAGUCGAGGGGUAACAUAGAAAAGCUUGCUUUUCUGAUGACGACCGGCGCACGGGUGCGUAACGCGUAUACAACCUACCUUUUAGCGGGGAAUAGCCCAGGGAAACUUGGAUUAAUGCCCCAUAGUAUAUAGACUUCUCCUGAAGUUUAUAUUAAACAUUUAUGGCUAUUAGAUGGGUAUGCGUCCUAUUAGUUAGUUGGUAAGGUAACGGCUUACCAAGGCAGCGAUAGGUAGGGGUCCUGAGAGGGAGAUCCCGCACACUGGUACUGAGACACGGACCAGACUCCUACGGGAGGCAGCAGUGAGGAAUAUUGGACAAUGGGCGAGAGCCUGAUCCAGCCAUGCCGCGUGCAGGAAGACUGCCCUAUGGGUUGUAAACUGCUUUUACAGAGGAAGAACCACCCCCACGUGUGGGGGUUUGACGGUACUCUGCGAAUAAGGAUCGGCUAACUCCGUG
rnacentral:rRNA from 1 species